rnacentral:rRNA from 1 species
UAAAGCUACAAAGAGCUAAUGGAGAAUGCCUUGGUACUGACAGCCGAAGAAGGACGCGUAAAGCUGCGAUAAGCUGCGGGGAACUGCUAAAAAGUCUAGAUCCGCAGAAAUCCGAAUGGGGUAACCCCUUUAAGUUAAAACUUAAAGACCGUCAACUAAAUCAAUAGGUUGAUCGGAGGAAAGCCUGUGAACUGAAACAUCUUAGUAACAGGACGAAGAGAAAAUAAACCAAUGAUUCCGAAAGUAGCGGCGAGCGAAAUUGGAAGAGCCUAAAUUGUAUGUACGAGAUAACCUGCAAGUGUUGUGCAUAUGAAGUAGUGGGACUUACAGUAUAAGUUGCAGCUUAUACACAGAGUAAAAAAAUUAUUUAAUAGCUGAAGCCAACUGGGAAGUUGCGCCAUAGCGGGUGAUAGCCCCAUAAGCGAAAUUAAAUAAUCUCUGGUAAGGAUCCCGAGUAAGGCGGGGCACGAGAAACCCAGUCUGAAUCAGCCACGACCAUGUGGUAAGGCUAAAUACUAGUCAGUAACCGAUAGAGAACGAGUACAGUGAUGGAAAGGCGAAAAGAACAGUGAGAAGCUGAGUGAAAUAGACCCUGAAACCGUUAGCUUACAAUCAGUCAGAGCACUAUGAAUAGUGUGAUGGCGUGCCUGUUGAAGAAUGAGCCGGCGAGUUAUCUUAAGUUGCAAGGUUAAGGAGUUAACAUCUGGAGCCAAAGCGAAAGCGAGUUUGAAAAGAGCGUUAAGUAACGUGAGAUAGACCCGAACCUUGGUGAUCUAACCUUGACCAGGAUGAAGCGUAGGUAACACUACGUGGAGGUCCGAACCGACUGAUGUUGAAAAAUCAGCGGAUGAGUUGAGGUUAGGGGUGAAAUGCCAAUCGAACCAAGAGCUAGCUGGUUCUCCCCGAAAUGCGUUUAGGCACAGCGUCAGAAAUAUCUUGCAGGAGGUAGAGCACUGGUUUUGUGCGGGCGGCGAAAUGCUGUACCAAACAAUGUCAAACUCCGAAUGCCUGCAAAGUAAGUAUCUGGCAGUGAGGCUAUGAGUGAUAAGAUCCAUGGCCAAGAGGGAAACAGCCCAGAACGCCAGUUAAGGUCCCAAAUAUAUGCUAAGUGGUUAAGGAGGUAGAGUUGCUUAGACAACCAGGAGGUUGGCUUAGAAGCAGCCAUCCCUUGAAAGAGUGCGUAAUAGCUCACUGGUCAAGCGACUCCGCGCCGAAAAUACACCGGGACUAAAGCAUAUAACCGAAACUGCGUCAUAUAGUUUACUAUAUGGGUAGGGGAGCGUACUGCAGUAGGACGAAGUCAGACCGAAAGGACUGAUGGACGAGGCAGUAGUGAGAAUGUCGGCAUAAGUAGCGAAAACAUUGGUGAGAAUCCAAUGCACCGAAAACCUAAGGUUUCCCACGGCAGGCUCGUCCGCGUGGGGUUAGUCGGACCCUAAGCUCAGGCCGAAAGGCGUAGGCGAUGGACAUCAGGUUGAUAUUCCUGAACUAUCGAUUAAUCGAUACCAGAAGCGGAGGGACGCAGGAGGAUAGACACGCAGCCGACUGGAAGAGGCUGUUUAAGCGUGUAGGUAGAGUAAGUAGGAAAAUCCGCUUAUUCGUUAGAAACUGAGGCGCGAUGAGGAGAGUCUACGGACUUGAAGGUGUUGACUCCACACUGCCAAGAAAAACUUCGCUAUCGAGAUUAAUAGGUAUCCGUACCGGAAACCGCCACAGGUAGGUUGGUAGAGAAUACUAAGGUGCGCGAGAUAACUCUCGCUAAGGAACUCGGCAAAAUCACCUCGUAACUUCGGGAGAAGAGGUACCCUGGUAGAGUGAAGGGGUUCACCCGUGGAGCUUGAUAGGGUCGCAGUGAAUAGGCCCAAGCGACUGUUUACCAAAAACACAGGUCUCUGCAAAGUCGAUCAAGACGAUGUAUAGGGGCUGACGCCUGCCCGGUGUCGGAAGGUUACGCGGAAGGGUUAGAGGCAACUCGAAGCUCAGAAGCUAAGCCCCGAUGAACGGCGGCCGUAACUAUAACGGUCCUAAGGUAGCGAAAUUCCUUGUCAGGUA